rnacentral:rRNA from 1 species
CCUACGGGGGGCAGCAGUGGGGAAUACUGGACAAUGGGCGAAAGCCUGAUCCAGCCAUGCCGCGUGUGUGAAGAAGGCCUUCGGGUUGUAAAGCACUUUCAGUGGGGAAGAAAGCCUUGGGGCUAAUACCCUCGAGGAAGGACAUCACCCACAGAAGAAGCACCGGCUAACUCCGUGCCAGCAGCCGCGGUAAUACGGAGGGUGCGAGCGUUAAUCGGAAUUACUGGGCGUAAAGCGCGCGUAGGCGGUCUGAUAAGCCGGUUGUGAAAGCCCCGGGCUCAACCUGGGAACGGCAUCCGGAACUGUCAGGCUAGAGAGCAGGAGAGGAAGGUAGAAUUCCCGGUGUAGCGGUGAAAUGCGUAGAGAUCGGGAGGAAUACCAGUGGCGAAGGCGGCCUUCUGGACUGACACUGACGCUGAGGUGCGAAAGCGUGGGUAGCAAACAGGAUUAGAUACCCUAGUAGUC